rnacentral:rRNA from 1 species
GCAUUAAUCCCCCCAGGGGAACCUGGCUCUUAAUUCGAUAAUCCGCGAACAUCUUACCUUUUCUUGUAUGUCCUUUAAUGUUUAAUUUUAGGUGUAUUCAGCUUGUAUACCGCCGUUUCUUAGUUUGUACCGUGAGGGAUUGAAACAAGCGUAAUAGUAAUUUUUCACUGUAAAUUCAGGUAAACGUGCAGCCUAUGAAAGGGGGUCGCUGGGUUACAAUUGUUGUUUAGAAUAGCGUUUAACUUUAAAGGUCAAACAAAAGUGGACUUGGAAGUAAUUACUUUUUUUUGAGUAGUGAAUAGAGCUCUAGUGUGUGU